GACGAACGCUGGCGGCGUGCUUAACACAUGCAAGUCGAACGGAAAGGCCCCUUUGGGGGUACUCGCGUGGCGAACGGGCGAGUAACACGUGAGUAACCUGCCCUUGACUUCGGGAUAACUUCAGGAAACUGGGGCUAAUACCGGAUAGGAAUCCUUGCUGCAUGGUUGGGGGUGGAAAGCUUCUGCGGUUUUGGGUGGACUCGCGGCUUAUCAGCUUGUUGGUGGGGGGGUGGCUUACCAAGGCUUUGACGGGUAGGCGGCCUGGGGGGGCGACCGGCCACAAUGGGGAUGGGAUACGGCCCAGACUCCCACGGGGGGCAGGAGGGGGGAAUAUUGGACAAUGGGGGGGAGGCUGAUGCAGCAAAGGCGCGGGGGGGAUGACGGGCUUCGGGUUGUAAACCGCUUUCAGCAGGGGCGAAGCUUGUGGUGACGGUACCUGCAGAAGAAGCACCGGCUAACUACGUG
rnacentral:rRNA from 1 species